ACGCGAGCUAGCAUUAUAUCGGGAUUAUAUCGGGCUCGAGGAAGGAGAGCGACUCGAGUUCAAUUGAGUCGUAUAUACCCUCACGCCGGGGCCCGCCUGCCCGUCGAAGAUGACGCGAACCGAUCCGAGCUCCUCGCCGUCACGUUCGUCCUGUUGCGGAAAGGUCGAGAUCGCAUUUUCUUUCUAACGGCAGACACCACUGGAGUGGCAUAAUGCGAGCGGAUGGUGCGUAAUUAUGGCGUAUCGAACGUCUCUCUCCGCCAGAUGCGACGGGGUCUCAAUCGAGCGAGUCGCAUAAAAACGCACACGAUAGUCUCGCUAGCGAUUGAACCGAUUCGGACGUCAAUCAAAGUCGGAAAGUCGAAAAGCCGACGCGGGCUGCUCUCUCGAUGACAGACGGAUGGACGAACGAACGGACAGCCAGGCGGGGAUCAGGCAGCUCAGGUAAAUCGACAUAUCGUGUUACGGGGGUUUUCUUCGGGCGAGUGACGGCGAAAAGUCAACGAAGCGUUCGUCACAAACAGAAUAACGUAUAUUUCUUCUCCCCAAAUUUACGCAAUUUCUCGGUAUCCUGUCACACGCUCUUUCGACACUUAAGCAGACGAUGGGAUACCUUUUUGAGAUGGCACAGAAAGAACAAUAGAGAACUUGUGAACGUAAGUUUUGGACCCAAGUACUUUUCAAAAGAAAUGGAAAAAGUCAUUUUUUAGCUCUAUAAAAAGGGAAGAUUGACCUUAAAAAUUUUUCACUCGGAUACGUACUUUCUUUGAUACAAUAUUAUUGUUCUAAAAUUCAAUUUUUUACAUUUAGUUAAAAAAAAUUUUUUUUUUACAGUAAAU